rnacentral:rRNA from 2 species
GUGAGGCAUGCUGGAGGUAUCAGAAGUGCGAAUGCUGACAUAAGUAACGAUAAAGCGGGUGAAAAGCCCGCUCGCCGGAAGACCAAGGGUUCCUGUCCAACGUUAAUCGGGGCAGGGUGAGUCGACCCCUAAGGCGAGGCCGAAAGGCGUAGUCGAUGGGAAACAGGUUAAUAUUCCUGUACUUGGUGUUACUGCGAAGGGGGGACGGAGAAGGCUAUGUUGGCCGGGCGACGGUUGUCCCGGUUUAAGCGUGUAGGCUGGUUUUCCAGGCAAAUCCGGAAAAUCAAGGCUGAGGCGUGAUGACGAGGCACUACGGUGCUGAAGCAACAAAUGCCCUGCUUCCAGGAAAAGCCUCUAAGCAUCAGGUAACAUCAAAUCGUACCCCAAACCGACACAGGUGGUCAGGUAGAGAAUACCAAGGCGCUUGAGAGAACUCGGGUGAAGGAACUAGGCAAAAUGGUGCCGUAACUUCGGGAGAAGGCACGCUGAUAUGUAGGUGAAGUCCCUCGCGGAUGGAGCUGAAAUCAGUCGAAGAUACCAGCUGGCUGCAACUGUUUAUUAAAAACACAGCACUGUGCAAACACGAAAGUGGACGUAUACGGUGUGACGCCUGCCCGGUGCCGGAAGGUUAAUUGAUGGGGU